rnacentral:miRNA from 1 species
GGGCCAUGAUGGACACUGAUG